rnacentral:rRNA from 1 species
CCUACGGGAGGCAGCAGUGGGGAAUCUUGCACACUGGGGGUAACCCUGAUGCAGCGACGCCGCGUGAGCGAUGAAGUAUUUCGGUAUGUAAAGCUCUAUCAGCAGGGAAGAAAAUGACGGUACCUGACUAAGAAGCCGCGGAUAAAUACGUGCCAGCAGCCGCGGUAAUAAGUAGGAGGCAAGCGUUAUCCGGAUUUACUGGGUGGAAAGGGAGCGUAGGAGGUCCUGCAAGCCAGAUGUGAAAGCCCGGGGCUCAAACCCUGGAGUGCAUUUGGAACUGUAAGGCUAGAGUGUCGUAGAGGCAGGCGGAAUUCCUAGUGUAGCGGUGAAAUGCGUAGAUAUUAGGAGGAACACCAGUGGCGAAGGCGGCCUGCUGGACGAUGACUGACGUUGAGGCUCGAAAGCGUGGGGAGCAAACAGGAUUAGAUACCCGAGUAGUC